rnacentral:ncRNA from 1 species
GGGUGCAGCGACGUCCGCUGCAGGCAUCGCGACGGUCGGGCCGCCGUCG